CUGAAGUUGCUCCCACACCUGUAGUUGUUCUUUGGGCUCGGCAUCAGUUGUCUCUUGCACUCACGUGGCUUUCACCUGUUGGAGCUACAGCGAGCCCAAAUGCUGACUGCUCUGCUUUGACCAAGUGAGAUGCAAAAAGAAGAGGUAGGUUGCAAAACAGGCUUCUAGUGCGUGCCAUGUAAGACUUGGGGUAUCCAGAGUUAACUUCUUGUCUUUCUCCUUUUCCAGUUCCCUUUGAUUUUUUCCCCCUUUUUUAUAAUUUAUUUUCAUUUCCUAAUCCACUUUCUAAUUCUACUUCUUUUCUUUUUUCCAAUUCCUUUUCCAAUUCCUUUUCCGAAUAGUUUUCUGCUUCAUUUUUUUCUUUUUACCUUUUUCUUUUCUCUCCUUGUUCUUUUAUUUCCUUUUCUUUCUCCUUCUAAUUUGUUUUCUUAAGACUUUUUCAAAUUCUUUUUUGUUUUGAAUUUUUUCUAUUUCUUUCUAAUUCUUUCUUUUUCUUUUGAUAAUUCUGUUUCCAAUUGUUUUUCUUUUUCAUGUUCCUUUUCUUAGUCAUAUUCCUUUCCGUUUUUUAUUUUCUUCAACAUAUUCCAAUUCUCAUUCCAAUUCUUUUUCCUUUAUUAAUUAUUUUUCCAUUCCCUUUUCUAAAUCUUUCUCUCUUUCUAAAUCCGUUUCUUCUUUCCUGUUUCUAAUUGUGAGAAUCCUUUGUUUUUUGGCUCAAAGCUUGCUUCCUGAGGUUUUUCUUGUGAUAAGACUCUCAAUGAUUUGUUAAGGAGGCAAGUGAUGGGUGCUAACCGUGUGACAAUCGACAUCACUUUGGGAACAUUUGAGAGCCCCUUCCUCCAGAGCUGCUUGCCUCCAGAAUAGAGUGCUCAGGAGUGUUCACUGGCAGAAGAUCUGGCCUGUGACUAAACAGCUCCAGCUUGGUAUGGGAAAACUGGGGAAUGAUACCAUCGUGUUCUGUGAAAAACAAGAUGCAGAUGGGCAUCCCUGCUCCCUCUUGUCUGCUGGCAAGGCCCAGAAGAUGGGAACAGAGGAGUUUCUGCUGAGAUCCCAGAGCCAGAAGCUGCCGCUCCAAGGAGAGCUGACUCAACCACAUUGGAUUUGAGCUGUCACUCCAAAGACAGCUGACUCGACCACUUUGAAACUAUUGAAAAGGGGCCGUCAUCGCCAUGGUCAUGGCCGUCGUUCUCAUCAUUCUCCUCAUCGUCAACAGAACAAUGCCUGACGACCCACCACUACUGAAGAUCAAAGACUGAAUUACAAACCACGCUGGAUCCAUGGUGGUGACUGUCUCCCUCUUACUUCCUGUAAAGACUCCUUGCUUCUUCUUUCCUAUCUUUCCUAUCGCCCUCCUUCCCUUCCCCAUUACCCUAAUUCAUAAUAGCAUCCGUCCUCCCCUUCCCCAUUUCCCUAAUUACGAUUUGUAAUAAAUUGGUCGGACCAACAUUUGAA